rnacentral:rRNA from 1 species
AACGAACGCUGGCGGCUGGCCUCAAACAUGCAAGUCUAGGGGGUGUAGCAAUACAUCACCGGCGGACGGGUGCGUAACGCGUGGGAAUAUACCUAUCGAUUCGGAACAACUGAGGGAAACUUCAGCUAAUACCGAAUACGUCCUAACGGAGAAAGAUUUAUCGUCGAUAGAUUAGCCCGCGUUCGAUUAGCUAGUUGGUGGGGUAACGGCCCACCAAGGCGACGAUCGAUAGCUGUUCUGAGAGGAAGAUCAGCCACACUGGGACUGAGACACGGCCCAGACUCCUACGGGAGGCAGCAGUUGGGAAUCUUGGACAAUGGGGGAACCCUGAUCCAGCCAUGCCGCGUGAGUGAUGAAGGCCUUCGGGUUGUUAAAACU